GAUGAACGCUGGCGGCGUGCCUAAUACAUGCAAGUCGAGCGAACAGACGAGGAGCUUGCUCCUUUGACGUUAGCGGCGGACGGGUGAGUAACACGUGGGUAACCUACCUAUAAGACUGGGAUAACCUCGGGAAACCGGAGCUAAUACCGGAUAAUAUUUCGAACCGCAUGGUUCGAUAGUGAAAGAUGGCUUUGCUAUCACUUAUAGAUGGACCUGCGCCGUAUUAGCUAGUUGGUAAGGUAACGGCUUACCAAGGCAACGAUACGUAGCCGACCUGAGAGGGUGAUCGGCCACACUGGAACUGAGACACGGUCCAGACUCCUACGGGAGGCAGCAGUAGGGAAUCUUCCGCAAAGGGCGAAAGCCUGACGGAGCAACGCCGCGUGAGUGAUGAAGGUCUUCGGAUCGUAAAACUCUGUUAUUAGGGAAGAAUAAACGUGUAAGUAACUGUGCACGUCUUGACGGUACCUAAUCAGAAAGCCACGGCUAACUACGUG
rnacentral:rRNA from 1 species